CCUACGGGAGGCAGCAGUGAGGAAUAUUGGUCAAUGGACGAGAGUCUGAACCAGCCAAGUAGCGUGAAGGAUGACUGUCCUAUGGGUUGUAAACUUCUUUUAUCAAGGAAUAAAACGAGGCACGCGUGCCUUUUUGCAUGUACUUUAUGAAUAAGGAUCGGCUAACUCCGUGCCAGCAGCCGCGGUAAUACGGAGGAUCCGAGCGUUAUCCGGAUUUAUUGGGUUUAAAGGGAGCGUAGAUGGGGUGUUAAGUCAGUUGUGAAAGUUUGCGGCUCAACCGUAAAAUUGCAAUUGAUACUGGCAGUCUUGAGUACAGUUGAGGUAGGCGGAAUGCGUGGUGUAGCGGUGAAAUGCUUAGAUAUCGCGAAGAACUCCGAUUGCGAAGGCAGCUUGCUAAACUGUGACUGACAUUGAUGCACGAAAGUGUGGGUAUCGAACAGGAUUAGAUACCCCAGUAGUC
rnacentral:rRNA from 1 species